CUCUGCAGUGCUCCUGGAUUGAAGAGUGUGGAUUCCAAGGACAAAGAAAGAAAUGGAAGUGAGAGAGAGGAGGGGGAUUACCAUACUACAUGUUGACCAGAUAGGAGCCCAGGCAAAUCGAUGGUGGUGUGAUGGUGAUGAAACUAUGAUGGUGAUAAAGAUGAUGGUAGUGGUGAUGGUGAUGUUUUUAAACAAUGAAACUACUAAUCUUUCACAUGUUGUAUUUCUGCAGUAUUAAAAUCAGAUCAGCAAACAAGGAGAUAAAGGACAUUAGAGGCGAAACAAUAGCAAAGUGAUCUGAUGAGAAAGAGAGCUUUUGGAGUUCCUCUCGUGGCGCAGCAGAAGCGAAUCUGACUAGGAACCAUGAGGUUGCAGUUUGAUCCCUGGCCUCACUCAGUGGGCUAAGGAUCUGGCAUUGCCGUGAGCUGUGGUGUAGGUCGCAGACGGGCGGCUCUGGUCUGGCCUUGCUGUGGCUCUGGUGUAGGCUAGCAGCAACAGCUCCAAUUAGAUUCCUAGCCUGGGAAAUUCCAUAUGCCAUGGGUAUGGCCUAAAAAGACAAAAGAAAAAAAGAAAGAAAGAAAGAAAAAGAGAGCUCCUAACCAAUGAGAAAGUAAGGAAACGAGAAAGUAAGGAAAUGAUAAAUCAAGGUUUUCCCUAAUUAUUGUACUAUACCGGAAAGUGAAUCUAAAUAUUAUUAAUAGUGAAGUAGUUGGCUUCUUUUUUCUUUAGUUCAUAAUAUGUGCCAACUACUGUGUUAAGAAUUUUGCAUGCAUCACUUUUUUCAGGCUAUUAACUUUUUUUAUUAGAGUACAGUUGAUUUACAAAGUCAUGUCAAUUUCUGCUGCACAGCAAAGUGACCCAGUCAUACAUACACACAUAUGUAUACAUUCUUUAUCCCAUACUAUCUUCCAUCAUGUUCUGCACCAAGAGACUGGAUAUAGUUCCCUGUGCUGUAUAGUAGGACUUCAUUGCUUAUCCAUUCUAAAUGUAAUAGUUUGCAUCUACCAACUUCAAACUCCCAGUCCAUCCCACUUCCUCCCCUCUGGCAAUCACAAGUCUGCUCUCCAUGUCCAUUAUCUGUUUCUGUUUUGUAGAUAGGAUCAUUUGUGCCACAUUUUUUUAAAUUUUUUUUUCUUUUCUUUUUUUUUUUUUUUUGUCUUUUGAGGCCCGCACUUGCGGCAUAUGGAGGUUCCCAGGCUAAGGGUCUAAUCGGGCUACUGCUGCCAGCCUACACCACAGCCACAGCAAAACCAGAUCAGAGCCGAGUCUGUGACCUACACAACAGCUCACGGCAACGCCAGAUCCUUAACCCACUGAGCGAUCAGGGAUCGAACCCGCAACGUCAUCAUUCCUAGUCAGAUUUGUUUCUGCUGUGCCGUGACGGGAACUUCAUGCACCAUAUUUUACAUUCCACAUAUAAGUGAUAUCAUAUGGUAUUUGUUUUUCUCUUUCUGACUUAGUCCACUUAGUAUGAUAAUAUCUAGUUAGGAAUAGUAGCAGAUAGAGGAGCUGAACCCAGAACUUCCCAAUCCUAAAAAUUCUGCUUCUAGCUAUUACAUAAGUAGAUCAAGUCCUUUGCUCCCGAUAUUGGUGGAGGAGGCAGAAGGAGCAAUGUGUGGGCAAGACAAACCCUUUGCCUUUGGCUAGUCACUUGGUAACCCAAGUUAAGACCCUUUCAACAGGCUAUGGUUCUGGGGUUAACUGUACUCCUGUUGGUAUGAUCAUUCUAGAUAUCCUGGAUAUUUUCCAUUAGAUUUCAUAUCUUUUAUUGAGGUAUAAUGCACAUCUGUCAAGCUGUUCCUUUCAAAGUGUACACUUCAGUAUUUUCUAGCAUAUUCACAAAGUUGUACAACCACCAUGACUAUCAUUUUCAAGCAUUUCUGGAGCUCUUAGCACAAUGUAGGACUUCUGGGAGGACUGAGGAAAUGUAUUAUCCUGCCUUUACAGAAUGUGCAAUCUUGUCAAGAAGGCAUGAUUUAUAAACUUGAAGCUCCUCACUACUUAUAUCAAAAAGAUAAUACUCUAUGAGAACAUGCAUACGUAUGGUAAGUGCUAAGAGAGCAAGGAUUCAUUGCCAGGGCUGGUGAUGAUGAGGGAGUCCUUAGCAGGGAGGCAGGUCUUGGAUAUGAAGAAAAACUGGAGACAUGAUGUGAGCAGGGAGGGCAUCAGAUGCAAGAAGGUGUCAGGCUAAAUGGCCCAAGCGUUAAACUCUUGCCAAGCAUAACUAUUUGUCCUACUGCGAGACUGGCUGGGACUUCAAUAGGAAAUAGAAAAGAGAUUAGAUGAAGCCCAGUGAUUUCAGCCAGAGAUUGCCAGGCCUAUUUGAAGAUAAUUUAUAUAAUAGUGACCAGCAGCUCCUCUCAGAAACUUGGGUGUGAUGCUCAUUGGUUUCAGCAGGAUAUGUGCUUUGCAGAGCCAAGACAGCAUUUGGCCCUUGGUGGAAAUUCCUGCUUUAAAAAGCCAUUUUGUUCCAUUUUGAAAUAAAGUGGGAGUAAAAGUCAUGCCCCAUGAUGCUUCAUGGUUAAUAAAAUUGCAAAGGCAUUUCUGCCUGGGCAUAAAAGAUUAUUUUAAGCAUCAUCUCCUGGGCCCCUCGGUUACUAAGGGAAUCCUGUCUCAGCUCAGUGGUGCAGACAAGUGAGUUGCCAUGACAAUCCUGCUAGACCUGGUUGGAAUCUAAAUACCACAGAGGGAGGAACUGCUGUCACUGUCUGACCGCUAAGCAGCCUGGCAGUGCCCUCCCUGCCCCUUGCAGUCACCCACUCUUCCUCCUGGACCCUUCUCAGCUUCCCCAGCCCUUGUCACUAAGAGACCAGGCGCAAUAGAAAGGGCAUUUAGGGUUGGUGGCUCAUCCUGCCUGAUGGUCAGUCUCUUCUGUCCCAGAAUGUGCUGUUCAUGCUGGGUGGUAUUCACGUCUCCCUGGGCACCUACAGUCGUUCAAGCCUGGCCUUUGUCUCUCUGAAUAGAGGAAAUACUAGAUAUUUAUCAAGAAGCUGAAAUAGGAAGCAGAAGAAAAUGUGGGAUAAAUCGGAUAAGUCUUGUUUUCUUCCCUACAACCCAGCCAGAAAUUAUCUGAAGCAUUUUCACAGGGAAGUAUUGGUCAAUCAACAAUUGACCAGCAAUUGGUCAAUCCUGCAGAUACCUAGAUGCAAUUCUAUCCUUUUUCAUGGAUACAUCUGUGGUGUUUGUGGCAGAUUAUACUUUAUAAAGAUGGUGGUAACCGUGUCUCCCACCCCAUGUGCUCUUCUCACAAGGCGGCUCUAUCAUGCUCACAUUGAGGCGUGGGUCUCUAUUCCUUCCCUUGAAUCUGGGCCAGCUCAUGUCUGAAGUGAAGUAAUGGCAUGUGAUUUCUGAGGCUAUAUCAUAAAGCAUAACACAGCUGACAUAUGAUUCUCUUGGGAUGCUUGCUGUUGGCAUCUGACCACCACACUGUGAAGAACCCCAAGCAGCCACAUGGUGAGACCACACACUGGUAUUCCAGAGAACAGCCUAAUUGAGGUCCUGGCUGACAGCAUCAAACAAUAGACCUGAAGUGAAAGAGCCUUCAAAUGAUGUCAGCCCCACACCUGACAUCAUCCCUGGUCUUUGAGUCAUCUCAGCAGAGGUCCCAAACAUCAUGAAGCAGAAACAAGCCACCCCCACUGUGCCUUUUCUGACCCUAACCAACAGAAGACAUACAAAAAUAAAAUGGUGGUUGUGCUAUGCCCAAAAGGGUGCAGUGAUUUAUUACCCAGCAAUAGUAGCUGGAACCAUGGUCCUUUUUCUUAGCAUGUUAUUUCUCUACUCUGUUCCUAGGAACUCUUACUCUUCCCUCAAGGAAUAUUCAAAUCUUAUCUUUCAGAUAUACAUCUUUCUCAUCUUAGGUGAGACAGUGUAACAGAGCAGUGGCUCCAACACUUACUUAACAAACUUAAAGUUCAUGAGCUUGGAUGAGCUGCUAGUUCUCUCUAAGCCUCAAAUUCAACAUCUGUAAAUGAGAAUGAAAACAAUAGUGCCUACUUCGUAGGUGAGGAAUAAGUGUAAUGCACUUUGAACAGUGCCUGUCACUUAGCAGGCACAGUUUAAGGGUUGGCUAUUUCUAAUUCUUCUGGGACCCUUUCCAAGUGUAAUCAAAAUCCAAAAUGAAUUCAUUCUCUAGAAUUUCUCAAGACUCUAUCUCUGCUGGGCUCAGACAGGACACCCUGACCCUGGUUCCAGAUUACAAGAGUGUUCACUGGUCUCAAGCUACACUGCAGCCUUCAAAGCUCCAUGGCUUCUGGAGGAAGUCCAGGUGAAGGAGCCUUCCUGGGCUGAAAGCAUCUGGUCCUCUGCUAUGUGAAGCUCCGUGGUCGGUAGGCAUCAACAUUUUUAUUCAAUCAUCAGAGAACUUUAAAUAAAUGUACAUGGAUUUAAUUACAUUAGGUUUCAGAACCAUUCUGAAUACAAAGACAGGAUGCUGGGAAACUUUAAACCCAUAUCACCAUGUGACCACACUAUUGAUGAUUCUUCUUUUCUUCUCCUUCCCCUCCUCCUCCUUCUCUUCUUCUUCACUUUAGGACAAAUGUGUUCCCAUGCUGGUCAGCUCUUGGAACCCUAAAAUCUGUAGGCAAACUUAGGAAUUUAUAAAUAAAAUUGUUUUUUUAAAAGCUUUAUACUGGGAGUUCUCAUCAUGGCUCAGUGGAAACAAAUCUGACUAGUAUCCAUGAGGAUGCAGGUUCAAACCCUAGUCUUGCUCAGUGUGUUGGGGAUCCUGCAUUUCCAUGAGCUGUGGUAUAGGUUGCAGAUUGGGCUCAGAUCCCAUGUUGCUGUGGCUGUGGUGUAGGCCGGCAUCUGUAGCUCCAAUUUGACUCGUAGCUUGGGAACUUCAUAUGCGGAAAGUACAGCCCUAAAAAGCAAAUAAAUAAAAAUAAAAGCUUUAUCCUGAAAAUGAAAUUGGAACUUAGUCUUGCUGGAGGACAUUGAAGCAGAAUCCAUCUUUUUACAGAAUGAAGCUCUAUGGAUUUUGCAAUAUGGCCGUUUAAGUUUUCUAUUCCAGCUAACAGUGGAAUCCCAAAGUUCAAAACUUUCCAAAGUUCAUUUUAUCUAUUCCUCCAUUUAUGCUCAACUAAACUUCAUAACAGCUCUACUGAUUUUAAAACAUUCUAAAUUCUCAUAACUUUAGAAAAAUGGAGGAAAGCCAAGGAUAAUUUAAUUAGAACAUACAUGAAUAUACAAUGUAAAACUAAUCAACAAUAAAAAAUAUAGGAGUUCCUGUCGUGGCUCAGUGGUUAACAAAUCCGACUAGGAACCAUGAGGUUGCAGGUCCAAUCCCUGGCCUUGCUCAGUGGGUUAAGGAUCCAGCAUUGCAGUGAGCUGUGGUGUAGGUUGCAGAAGCGGCUUGGAUCCCGCAUUGCUGUGGCUCUGGUGUAAGCCGGUGGCUACAGCUCCAAUUAGCCUCCUAGCCUGGGAACCUCCAUAUGCAACGAGAGUGGCCCAAGCAAUGGCAAAAAAACAAACAAACAAAAAAGCAUAAUUCUGCCAACCCAAAAGGGCAUAUCACAAACAUUAUAAAAACUAUCUGAAAGGCCCACAGGCAGGAAAACAUAAAAAAGAUAUUUCCUGGAGUUCCCAUCAUGGCACAGUGGAAACAAAUCUGACUAGGAACCAUGAGGUCACGGGUUCAAUCUCUGGCCUCGCUCAGUGGGUUAAGGAUCUGGCAUUGCCGUGAGCCAUGGUGUAGGUCGCAGAUGUGGCAGCAACAGCUCCAAUUAGACCUCUAGCCUGGGAACUUCCAUAUGCGUCAGGCACGGCCC
rnacentral:lncRNA from 1 species